rnacentral:lncRNA from 1 species
ACCAGCUCAGCCCAGAGCCUCCUGAAAGUAGUUCCCCACCCUAGGCCCACAGCUGUGCUUGUUUUCUGGUUCUUUGGAUAGAUGCAGUAUUUAACAGCACCACCUAGGCUAGCCUUCCCCAAAGGGCUUGGGCCUUUCUGCCUGCUUACAGCCUUGACUUUUCCUACGCUUCUUUUCGGAGGAGUGUUGUACUACUGAUUAAGCAGUGUAUUGCUUGUCAGAAAUCUGGAGUGUUGUCAGAUGUCUCUUUGAGGCUGAGGGCCUGGAAAGAGUGGGGUUGCCACAAGUCAGAACAGCAUGGCCUUGAAGUGAUCUGGGUGUGUGGAUCUAGGGGAUGUAAAAACUGAGCUUGGAAGUGUGAGUAUCCUCGAGAGAAACUGAGUCUUGUUUUAUCACAGCACUGACAAGGAGCUAAACUUUCUGAAAUACUACAUAUUUAGUUUUGUUAGAACUAGGUUUAUUCUUUCAUGUGAACUUGUUAGAAACAUGAUGGAGCUUAGCUCUACCAGGUUUUUUUGUUGCUGUGCUACACACUCAUAUAAGCAGUGCUAUUUUGGUGGCAGAGAAUGGGUUCUUAUCCCUAAACAAAUCAGCUCUUCUGUCACAUUAAAGCAGUGUUAAUCCUUGAAGCACCACCCACAAGCGAUUCAACUCAGGCCUCAAAGGUUCCUAAUUGUACAUCCUUAACUGUGACGUAAUGUGCAAGGUGCUAUAACCAUGCCAUGGCAGUCUGUCCUUCCAAGCUCUCUUUGUAGCCUGUACUAUUCUGCUAUGCUGUAUGACCAGGAGAGGACAACCCACAGGGAGGUGGCAGAACUUGCUGAUGACCCAAGAUAAGAUUAGUUCAGAAGAGGAUGCCAGUUUCCACAGUGCAGUCCCCUCCCUUGCACUCCAGCUACAUGCAACGAUCUGAAAUUACACAGUAGUAGCAAGCCAAGCACACAUUUGAAUGUGUCCUCUGGUCAAUUUUGUGUGGCUGUAAAUUAACAUAUUUAGUGUCUGGAUGCUAAUGAUGAUGUUAGCUGUAAAGCUACCACUGUUACCUGUAAAUAAUAUGGGUUACUUGAAAGCCACAAACUGCCUUUGCAUAGUUUGCUAUGCAGUGGACUGAAAGUUCAGGUGCCACUGUGAAUCAUAUGAUAAAUAAUUGCAGCAGUCAGCAAGGGAGACUGACUGUCAGGUUUUAUUAAAGUGGAUUAAAUCCAGGAAAAAGACAUUAUAAAACCCAUUUAGAUAAAAGUGGGAUGCAUCCUCACCAUGACUUUGGUUGAUUGUUUGGUUAGUUAAUUCAGAGUAACUGUAAGCUCUUGAAAGUAAUUAGUGGCUUCAUACAGAGCACAUUCAAUAGCUGGACAGACGGAAAGGAGGGGAAAUGUGUUGGGGGGAAGACGACCUCAAAAUAGAUGGGGCAAGUGAGAGGUCAGCUGCAACCUAAUGAUGCUUUCUUGAAAGCAGGGCAAAAGGGAUACUCAGCAGUGUUAUAUCACCAGGGCAGAAUGGCUUAAAACAAAAUGCUUUGUUUGACCUGGUAAUGAAGUGCUUUCCUGCAGGAUGUAACUGAGGCCAAUAGCUUAGAAAACUAAAGGAAGUGGAUGUUUAAGGAAUGAAUGACAGAUGGAGUUCAAGGUCUCUUAAUCCUCAGCUGUAGCCAGACAAGAAUAUACUCUUUCAAGAUUUAGUUGCACAAUUAAGUACAUUAGGAGGCAUUUAAUUCUUCAUAUGUACCUAAUGUUGAUGACUUCUCAAGAUGAAUGCAGGAGCAGACAUAAGCCCUCUAUUAGGAUUGUUAUUUCAAGCCUUCCACUAUGUUUCUCUGUGUGGUAGAAUUCCUGCCCCUUACUAUUUCUGUAUCUCCAGUUUAGCAGAUGGUGCUUAAAAAAAUGGAAAAUGACCAAACAAUUCUCCCCUUCUUGCUCUUGCUGCCCCCAUCUUUGUAACAGGAUGAAUCACUUCAAUACAAAGCUUAGCUUCCUUGCUAACAACACGACAGCAUCUCCCUGUGACAGAAAGGAUUAGUGCAAUACAGUUUUAUGCAGUAAGAAACCUGAGGGUAUAAUGAAAGAUGAACUUUUGCAUUUCCACUUUUUUCCUCCCUUAUCCACCUGCUCUGGCUUCUGGUCUGUCUGCCUUUAACCAUAAGGAAAAGAAGGCUGGAGAUGAGUCUUUUUCACUUCUGCAGUUUUUAGAGCUACACAGAAGGAAAGAAAAUAAAGAACUAGACUGUAAUUCAGGGCCUGCAGAACAAAAAAAGAUGGAUCUUGAGGAGUUAUACUAUUUAAUGUUAAAUAUUAAUAUGAUCGCACAUGUAGCUCUGGGGUGUAUAUUUCACUGAGCAGUAAGUAGGUCUCAUCUGAUAUCUGUUCUGCAGUACAGGUCCUUCUGAACUCUGUGGAAAGCAACUGCAUCCAUGUACUAGGAAUGGAUAGACACUGCCUAUGUUGUAUGCCAAGUCAAGGUGAGCUUUGAAAGACUUGGAACAAAUACUGACCUACUACUAGCAAAACUAUUUUUAAUAUAAUGCAAACCUUGAAGUAAGAGUUUUUCUUUGUACUUUUAUGUAGACAAGUACCUUGACACUUGGCCAACUGCAGGUUUUUUAAUGGAUGAAUGGGUUAGUGAGCAAAACUUUCUGCUACAGUGUCACUCUGAUAUAAACUUCAUACACUAAAGAGUCGGGUUGAGUGUCCAUCAGACUGUGACACUAGCCUUUUUUUUUUAACUCUGAUAUGAUAAACUAAAUGAGUCUUUAGGAACUUAAGGUAUGUUAGCAAGUGUUUAGUGGAAGUGGAGUGCUUUUUUUUCAGGUGACUGUUUUACUUGUAGAAAGGUGGAGACGAUCCUUCUGCACCCAAGCUGAACUCCUUAGGGAAUUAAGUAUUUUUGUCUGUUUUCUGAGCAGGUGUUACCUUGUAUCACAACCACUCUCCUGCAGUGGUGCCCUGGCCCUGUCUGCUCAGGAGCAACUCAACUUAGGCCCAGAAGGCUACUGAAUCCCCCGUACACUCUGCAAAGCAGAGUUUCCCUCCAGGUCAGGGUUGAGAUGGUGCUAGUGGGACCAGAGUGGUCCCCUUCCGUGCACAUCAGUAUUCUACUCUAGCACUGAUAGGGUGCUCCAAAACCAUUUACAUCUUUAUCGCUGGUUCAGCUGAAAACUAAGAAAUGGCAGGUUUCUUUCUUUAAGAACAAUAUCCUGUGUGUCUUUUUGUAAUUAAUCAGUGAGGUUCUGUGUUCUUAUGUAGCCAACACAGAACUUGUAUUUAGAUUUAGUUCUUACUGCACUUCCCAUAGCCCUCAUGUUGGUACUUCUUCCUGCUUCCUUUGACACUUAGAAAAUAAAAUUCCCUCUGUACUGCU